CAAAACAUAUUUGAAUAUCUAUUAUUGAGAUGGUUUUCUUCAGUACUAUCCUUUCAAAUAUUAACUGUCACGUUUUACAUCAAAAGAUAACAUCUUACUGUUACACUCUAAAAUGGGAGCUCACUUUAAAUAAGGAAACUUUUAGUGAAGGAUACUACAAAUGGAUUCAAAGUGAUGAAUGGUAUGUGUCACAUGCCUAUGGACAUUGCCAAUUUUUGGAGACAAACAGAAAAUGGUUGUAAUAUAAACCAUUUGUUUCAUUGAAUUUUAAAAAUGCUUCACGCAAAUUGGUAAAAUGAUACUCAAAAGCUGUAAAUACAAACACCAUUUGUUCCAUUGGAUUUAAAAAAUGCUUCAAGCAAAUUGGAAAAAUGAUACUAAAAAGACUAGGGUAAGCCAAAAACUAUGACAGGAAGCCAAAAACAAGGAUUCAUAAGAGGUAAGAACUAGUAUAAAGCCAAUGAAAACAUACACUAAGAAAAAAUUUAACUAUUGAAUCCUCCAAAUUAAGUAUUCAUUGUAGAAAAGGUCAACCUUGUUAUGGUUUCCUCCAUUGAUCCCGAUGCAUGCAUCCGUAUAAAUACAUAAGCCGUCUGCAUAAUAAUGCCAGAUGCUGUAAAAAAUAGUUUAUACUCCAAAGAGUUUGUUUCUGUUGCAUUUGCAAAUGUACUUUGGUUCAGUAAUUGGUUUCUUCCUUAGAGGCUUCCUAUGAAACCCCUCCCUAUAUAACACAACAAAAACACUCACUCCAUUUUGCAUCAGCAAAAUCACUUCAUAUUACAGUUACAAAGGGACUAGAGUCAUCAAUAGAUAUUAAUCAUGCUUUACAGUAUGAGUGAAAACUCAUAAAUUUUCAUUUAAGGCAACAACUAGCUUUCACAUUUAAAUCCAUCAUUUUGGGUCAUCAACCCGAAUUUGGGACCAUUGCACUCAUCUAUACCACCCUUUUUGAAAUAAUGAAAAGAAAAUAAUUUCACUUAUCAAUUCACAAAGCACACUUGCAUUUGCUACAUGAACAAAGAGUUCAUAAUGCAUUUUCACUCUACAGUCAUUGAGGCAUCCAUCACUUUAAAAGAAAUUCUGUAACAAAGCAUAUCCAUCAAUUCCAGCAUUUUGGGUUAGGUGGUACUAGAGUCAUGUAUUCACCGUAUUUCUUGUCUCAAGCAGAAGAUUGAAUGUUUGCUCAAUUAAAGUUUGUUUUCUCAUGCAGAAGAUUGAAUGAAUGUUCUUGAAAAAUCAAGAAUGAGAAAAUUGGUUUUCCAAGCAUUUUUUUUUUCUCAAGCAGAAGAUUCAAUGUUCUUGACUAAUCAAGAAUGAGAAAUGAGUAUUCCAGCAUGCCACAUAAGUUAAAAUUACCACAACAACCAAAAAAUUUGCCGUUCAAAAUUUUUUGGAAUUAAAAUUCCAAAAUAGUUGAAAUUCCAUUGUGUAGCAAAUAAAAAAACUCCCAGAAUCUUGGUACAAAACAGAGUUUUAGGACAAAGCAUUUUGCCCAAUUAAGGUUCCUUUUUAUAUUCAAUUUCUUGAAUAAUCCAAAAUUAGAAAAUAGUAUCUCAAUCAUAAACGAGACAGGGCAAAUUUUGUGGAGUGAAAAUUACAAAAUAUUAUAUAACACCAUCAUCUUAACAAAAGGUAAAAAGUUUCUGACAGAGCAUGUAUGCACGAUUUUAAUGUUCUUUGUUUUUUUCAAGCAGAAGAUUGAACAUUCUUGAAUGACCAAGAAUGAGAAAAAUUGUUUCCCAAAAAAAAUUGCUUUCUUCCAAAAUUUUGAUACCAAAUAGGAUAUUGGGAUUCAGCAUGUUUGCACGAUUUUAAUGUUCUUUUUUUUUGUUCAAGCAGAAGAUUGAAUAUUCUUGAAUGAUCAAGAAUGAGAAAAAUUGUUUCCAAAAAAAAUUGCUUUCUUCCAAAAUUUUGAUACCAAAUAGGAUAUUGGGACAGAGCAUGUUUACAUGAUUUUAAUGUUCUUUUUUGUUUUCAAGCAGAAGAUUGAAUAUUCUUGAAUGACCAAGAAUGAGAAAAAUUGUUUCCAAAAAAACAUUGAUUUCUUCCAAAAUUUUGAUACCAAAUAGUAUUGGGACAAAGCAUGUUUGCACAUAUUCUUUUUUAUUUUUUUUAAGGCAGAAGAUUGAAUAUUCUUGAAUGACCAUGAGAAAAAUUGUUUCCAAAAAAAAUUGCUUUCUUCCAAAAUUUUGAUACCAAAUAUUUGGUAUAUUGGGACACAGCAUGUUUGCACGUUUUAAUUUUAUUUUUUUUCAAGCAGAAGAUUGAAUAUUUUUGAAUAUUGUUUCCAAAAAAAUUUGUUUUUUCCAAAAUUUUGAUACCAAAUAGAAUAUUGGGACACAGCGUGUUUGCACGAUUUUGAUGUUCUUAUUUUCUCAAGCAGAAGAUUGAAUAAUCUUGAAUGACCAAGAAUGAGAAAAAUUGUUUCCAAAAAAAAUUGCAUUUCAAAUUAUUUGUACCAACAGGGUCUUGGGACAUAGCAUGUUUGCCCCCGUAAAGAUUCUUUUUGGUUUUAAUGCAAAAUUUAAUUUUCAAGAAUAAGAAAAUUGGUAUUCCAACAUGUAUCAAUGCAAAUAUGUUGCAACAGAAAAGAAUAUUCGAACAGAAACAUCCUUUUAGGGUUAGGUUUGGGUCACGUAUUCCACCCCUUUUAUGAUAAAAGAUUCAACCUUGCAGCAAUUCACAAUCUUUUAGGGUUUGUAUACCCAAUUAAACUUAGAUUUACAGAAUCGAAAGGGUCUUUUGGUUUUGAAGCCGAAAAUUUAAUAUUCUUGAAUAAUAAUCAAGAACAAAAAAUGGGUAGUUUUAUUUUUCUAAAGCAGAAGAUUGAAUAUUCUUGAAUAAACAAGAAUGAGAAAAAUGGAUUUUCCAGCAUAUAUCAAUGCAAAUAUAUCGAAAUUAAAAUUCCGAAAUUACCGUAGCAAGCAAGAAAUGUUGUCUUGGAACAGAUCACACAACGCGGGACAACAACAUUCACACAGAUUCAAUCAGCAAUUUGAUGUUGCAUAUUUAAUUGUUUUCUUGAAGAAAACGAACACGACAUAGUAGCACUGUUAAGCUAUAAGCGUAACUCAUAAUGAGAGCAACGGUAUUCAUAUAUGCCGUUUAUAUAAACCUAUUCUCAUGGGCUUUUAUUUUUGUUGAACCAUGG
rnacentral:lncRNA from 1 species